rnacentral:rRNA from 1 species
AUUGAACGCUGGCGGCACGCCUAACACAUGCAAGUCGAGCGGUAGCAGGGUUAGUAGCAAUACUAGCUGCUGACGAGCGGCGGACGGGUGAGGAACACGUAGGAACCUACCCUCAAGCGGGGGAUAACUAAGGGAAACUUUAGCUAAUACCGCAUAAUCCCGAGAGGGCAAAGCUACCCGCAAGGGCGGCACUUGAGGAGGGGCCUGCGUCCGAUUAGCUAGUUGGUAGGGUAAAGGCCUACCAAGGCGAUGAUCGGUAACUGGUCUGAGAGGACGACCAGUCACACUGGGACUGAGACACGGCCCAGACUCCUACGGGAGGCAGCAGUGGGGAAUAUUGGACAAUGGGGCAACCCUGAUCCAGCGAUGCCGCGUGAGUGAAGAAGGCUCGGUGUAACUAGCUUUGUACGGUAACGAAAA